UGCAUCUGUUUGAACUCAUUACCUGUAUAAAAGACACCUGUCCGCACACUCAAUCAACUCCAACCUCUCCACCAUGGCCAAGACCAAAGAACUGUCUAAGGACACCAGGCACAAAAUUGUAGACUGCACAAGUCUGGGAUGGGCUACAGGACAAUCGUUGUAAUACUUUAUGGAGCGGGAGCUCCGUAAAGAAUUAGAAUGUAUCGGCUCCGAUGAGCCGAAGUUAUAACUUCGCGAAGUCUCGCGAGACUUCGGGUAAUAACUUCGGAAAUUUGUUAUUAAUGUAAAAAACCUUGAUACCGAACUCGGGUUACAUUCUAAUACUGUUCUUACAUUCUAAUACUGUAUGCAGCUCCUGCUCCGUACAGUAUUACAACAAAGUUUUAUGCGAAUCGCUCAUCCUUAGUGUUAAGGUUAAGACUACCUGUACAACUUGCAGGAUAACAGGGUGGACUGGGUUUUCUUUUUUCGGCCUAACAAACUAUUCUACAUUUUGUGGAUUACUUGUGGUUUUUCCGUGCAGAUUUUUGAAUGUAGUGAAGUACCAGGAAAGUCAUUUGACAAAUCACAUAUACACUUUUUCAGUGUGGAAAAUGACCUGUGGUAGAGAUUUUGAAAUCCGCAGCAUGUCAAUUGUUUCUGCGGAUUUGUACUGCACAUUUUUACUGUGGAUUUCAACCUCUGCAAUGCAAAGGGUGAGAAUGGGGAAAAUCUGCUACAAAAUGGAUUUUGGUUCGUAAAUGUAGAGUAAUCCGCACCCCUGUGGAGGUGGCCUAACAGUGUGUUUGCACCAGAUCACAAUAAAUGUCCUGCCUGGGGCAAUACUACUGUAACACUACCUGAAAUUAGUUAUAGACCAUUUGUUAUGUACGUAGCUAUGCAGGAAAAGUAGAAAUGAAGCACCUAAAGCUCCCAGAGGUCAUUUCAAGUCCACCUAUCACAGACAUGGAGGCUG